rnacentral:snoRNA from 1 species
GCACAAGAUGAUCAACGUAUAUUACAUACGCUGGAAAUUACCGGCAGAGGCUUCGGCCGCAGAAGAUACAAAUAGGCUGUUUUCUGAUC